GGGGAAUAUUGCGCAAUGGGGGCAACCCUGACGCAGCCAUGCCGCGUGAAUGAAGAAGGCCUUCGGGUUGUAAAGUUCUUUCGGUAGCGAGGAAGGCAUUUAGUUUAAUAGACUAGGUGAUUGACGUUAACUACAGAAGAAGCACCGGCUAACUCCGUGCCAGCAGCCGCGGUAAUACGGAGGGUGCGAGCGUUAAUCGGAAUAACUGGGCGUAAAGGGCACGCAGGCGGUGACUUAAGUGAGGUGUGAAAGCCCCGGGCUUAACCUGGGAAUUGCAUUUCAUACUGGGUCGCUAGAGUACUUUAGGGAGGGGUAGAAUUCCACGUGUAGCGAUGAAAUGCGUAGAGAUGUGGAGGAAUACCGAAGGCGAAGGCAGCCCCUUGGGAAUGUACUGACGCUCAUGUGCGAAAGCGUGGGGAGCAAACAGGAUUAGAUACCCUGGUAGUCCACGCUGUAAACGAUGUCGAUUUGGGGGCUGAACUUUAAGUUUGGCGCCCGUAGCUAACGUGAUAAAUCGACCGCCUGGGGAGUACGGCCGCAAGGUUA
rnacentral:rRNA from 1 species